CGGGUACGGGGACCGUGUCAGGCGGGCAGUUUGACUGGGGCGGUCGCCUCCUAAAGAGUAACGGAGGCGUUCAAAGGUUCCCUCAGAAUGGUUGGAAAUCAUUCGCAGAGUGCAAAGGCAUAAGGGAGCUUGACUGCGAGACCUACAAGUCGAGCAGGGACGAAAGUCGGACUUAGUGAUCCGGUGGUACCGCAUGGAAGGGCCAUCGCUCAACGGAUAAAAGCUACCCUGGGGAUAACAGGCUUAUCUCCCCCAAGAGUCCACAUCGACGGGGAGGUUUGGCACCUCGAUGUCGGCUCAUCGCAUCCUGGGGCUGAAGUAGGUCCCAAGGGUUGGGCUGUUCGCCCAUUAAAGCGGUACGCGAGCUGGGUUCAGAACGUCGUGAGACAGUUCGGUCCCUAUCUGUCGUGGGCGCAGGAAAUUUGAGAGGAGCUGUCCUUAGUACGAGAGGACCGGGAUGGACGUACCGCUGGUGCAUCAGUUGUUCCGCCAGGAGCAUGGCUGAGUAGCUACGUACGGACGGGAUAAGCGCUGAAAGCAUCUAAGCGUGAAGCCCCCCUCAAGAUGAGAUUUCCCA
rnacentral:rRNA from 1 species